GAUGAAGAACGCAGCGAAAUGCGAUAAGUAAUGUGAAUUGCAGAAUUCAGUGAAUCAUCGAAUCUUUGAACGCACAUUGCGCCCGUCAGUAUUCUGGCGGGCAUGCCUGUUCGAGCGUCAUUACGCCCCUCAAGUCCCCUGUGGACUUGGUGUUGGGGAUCGGCGAGGCUGGUUUUCCAGCACAGCCGUCCCUUAACUUAAUUGGCGGUCUCGCCGUGGCCCUCCUCUGCGCAGUAGUAAAACACUCGCAACAGGAGCCCGGCGCGGUCCACUGCCGUAAAACCCCCCAACUUUUUAUAGUUGACCUCGAAUCAGGUAGGACUACCCGCUGAACUUAAGCAUAUCAAUAAGCGGAGG
rnacentral:misc_RNA from 1 species